AACGAACGCUGGCGGCAUGCCUAACACAUGCAAGUCGAACGAGACCUUCGGGUCUAGUGGCGCACGGGUGCGUAACGCGUGGGAACCUGCCCUUAGGUUCGGAAUAACUCCCCGAAAGGGGUGCUAAUACCGGAUAAUGUCUUCGGACCAAAGAUUUAUCGCCUUUGGAUGGGCCCGCGUUGGAUUAGCUAGUUGGUAGGGUAAAAGCCUACCAAGGCGACGAUCCAUAGCUGGUCUGAGAGGAUGAUCAGCCACACUGGGACUGAGACACGGCCCAGACUCCUACGGGAGGCAGCAGUGGGGAAUAGAGGACAAGGGGCGAAAGCAUGAUCCAGCAAUGCCGGGUGAGAGAUGAAGGCCUUAGGGUUGUAAAGCUCUUUUACCCGGGAUGAUAAUGACAGUACCGGGAGAAUAAGCUCCGGCUAACUCCGUG
rnacentral:rRNA from 1 species